rnacentral:ncRNA from 1 species
UAGCAAAAAGGGCAUGACCAUCGAAAGGUGGUGGCGCAAAGUUACCGGCCUAAGGGCAAAACCUACGGCAGCGGGAUUACCGGA